AUGGCAGCACCUAAAGAAGGAUUUGGAUUUUUCUUUGUUUCUCACACUCAUCAGCUAACAACUAUUCAUAAAAGUUAUGGUACAGUUGCACGAUACUAUCAAUUCAAUCUAAGUGCAAGGAUCAACACGACCACCACUGAUGAGUUUAAUCCUUACGGGAGUACGUCGACAUCUUCUCAGCCACCUCCUCCAUAUUGUUAG